ACGCUCGACACCUACGGGGGGCAGCAGUGGGGAAUAUUGCACAAUGGGGGGAACCCUGAUGCAGCGACGCCGCGUGGAGGAAGAAGGUCUUCGGAUUGUAAACUCCUGUUGUUGGGGAAAAAGAGGAUGGUACCCAACAAGGAAGUGACGGCUAACUACGUGCCAGCAGCCGCGGUAAUCUGAGCGGGCUGGCAAGGC
rnacentral:rRNA from 1 species